AUUGAACGCUGGCGGCAGGCCUAACACAUGCAAGUCGAGCGAGCGGCGGACGGGUGAGUAAUGUAUGGGAAACUGCCUGCUGGCGGGGGGUAACUACUGGAAACGGUCUCUAAUACCGCAUACCAUCAGAUGUGCCCAGAUUGGAUUAGCUAGUAGGUGGGGUAACGGCUCACCUAGGCGACGAUCCCUAGCUGGUCUGAGAGGAUGACCAGCCACACUGGAGAGGGGACACGGUCCCGAAUCCUACGGGAGACAGCAGUGGGGCAUCUUGGAGAAUGGGCGCGAGCCUGAUGCAGCCAAGCCGCGUGAGUGAAGAACGCCUUCGGGUUGUAAAGCACUUUCAGCGGCGAGGCGUUACCCGAAGAAGAAGCACCGGCUAACUCCGUGCCAGCAGCCGCGGUAAUUC
rnacentral:rRNA from 1 species